CUUCUUUUCUGCCAAGUUCAAACAAGAUUGCUAGCGAAAAAGAUGGCACAAUCUUGUAACAGUGUAAGCUGUUAAGAUGAUCAUUAUAGUUUUCAAAAAAAAAAAAACAAAAUAUUGUAAAUUAAUUAUAAUCUACUACAUCAUGUUCAUGCACAUGCAUUAAUAAGAAAUAAUACAUGCAAAUAUUGUUAGUACUUAAUACUUUUCUAACAAAGUUUUUUUUUGUCAAUUCCAGACAUACAAACCCCAUUUCCGCCAGCGACAGCGCCUAUCGUAGGCCAGUGGUACAAAACCGUUUUGACAUUUGCCACGAGUGCCAAAGGCAAUAAAGUACUCGAUCUACACGGAUACAGGCUCUGUAAGAAAAAAACAACCAAACACCUUACUUGGUGGUCUUGUAUACACAAGAAGUGCAAGGCACGUUCCGCUACAAUCGGUGAGAGGUACAUAAAAUUUGGCGAGCUGUACCACGACCAUCCCAUAAGAAAGAGUUCCAAGUCGUGGAUUAAUUUGGUCCCAAUUGACCUAUCCCGUCUACCGAAUGCGACGGAGAUUGCCAAGGAACCCCCGGAAAUGACCUUCGAGCUUCGCAUAUCCCUGGCUAUAGUGCGAAAUCUUCCGCCACGUUUGUCCAUAAACCGGUUGAUCAAAACCCGGAACCCAUCAAGGUGCAUCGUGCACCUUCCACCUCCGGUGCGAUCAAAUUCGUUCGCAGUAAGAAAAAGAAUUCCCAACUGGUGUACAAAGGCUUCCUGUACUACCGAAAGCUAACCCAGCAAAAUGGCAAUACCACGUGGCAGUGUAUCGAUGGUACGAAGUUAUGCUGCAAGGCGAUAUGCGUUACCAAGUUCAACAAACUGAUACGCGCCAAACGGCAGCAUGCUCAUGAGAACCAUGAGAGUAAGAUAAGGAAUCGGCGGCUGUACAACUACCCGACCCGGAAGAUUUAGAAGAAUACCUGGACAUCUUAUCAUGGACGUCAUCGACGAUGGAACCGAUUACAAGCUGGUCGUUCAGGAUACCAUCGAGAAACUGGUACAAGAAGCACCUGGGAGUCACAUAGGAGACAUGAUGGCGAGUGGGACGGAUACGUUCUAUGCGACACCUCAGUAACACAUUCUAGUACUACAAUUAAAAUUAAACCGUGAAAAUAAAGAUUGGAAAAAGUGAGCGCAGAUGAAAUUUGUCUGAGAAGUAGAGAAAUUCGGCAUGUUACCAUAAGAACAUAUAAUAAAAAAAAAUGACAAGGGCUUAACGAAUGUCCAUUUCAGAUGAGCUAACAUCUUCGACGAAGAUGAUCUUCAAAGAUGACGAAUGCGUUGGUUCGUCGGAUCGAGUGUAUACAUUCCUCACCAGUCGACAGGGAGGCAUCCAUUUGGUUCACGACUGGUAUAUCUAUCGAUCGAACCUACGUCGAUGCGGCCGUAACAAAGACAUCAUCUACUGGGAAUGUGUGCACAACCGAGUAGAAAAAUGUCGCGGACGACUGAAAAGCGUGGGCGAUCAACUGCACAUUUCAAACUCGAAUAUACAACAAAAUCAUGAACCGGACACAAUAAAGAUAGCAACGGCCAUGGCUUCCGGGCACAUCUCUUACAAAACGUUAUCCUCACUGGGAGCCGUGUUUACCACAAUUAGGAUACGUGAACCGGUGCAAAAGUGAAUAAAAUAUUUUUUUUUAAAUUAUUUCAAAAUCGAGUGUGCGGCGGUACAGUUCGUCCGAAGUAGGAAGGGCAAACCACUAUUGCUGUACAAAGGCCAUCAGUACACGUUGAACCGUCGACGGAAACAGCUGGGCUACUGGGAGUGCGUUCACAGGCGAUCGAAGCUGAAAAGUUGUCCCUCUUGGAUAACGACGGACAACGUUCAGAUUAAGCGUGUCAAGGGCGAACACGACCACAUGCCUCCGGAGAUGAUAGAAUAUCUGUUGGAUGACAGCAAUGCAUUUCUGAAAGUAGCACCAUCAGAAUAAAAGUUGCAUUUUUGAAAUGUUCGUUUCUCUGUUUGAUUUAGUUGAUAUAAGUAAAUCUGUGUUACCAGACCGUGAACCGUGAAUGUGAUUGAAAACGUUGAAUUUUUAAAAUUUUCACAUUCGGUCUUUACAGUUCUCAUUGAACGUCUGGUGGAGCCUGAACUGAUCAAAGAGGAACCAAACAAGUUGCUAUUCGUUCGCAGUCGUUGGGGACGUAAACUUCUAAUCUACGAACGAUAUGUUUUCUUCCCCAACAAACGGGUCGAGGCGACGAAUACCACCUACUGGCGAUGUACGUUUUCCAGCAAUCGGAAAGGCCCAAACCGCUGCUCGGUGCGAUGCAUUACUAGAGACAAUCAGGUUAUAAACUUUCACGGACUGCAUAACCAUCCGGAAGAAAUGUCCAAACUGCAUGGAAGACAUGUCUUCGACCAGUACAGUGUGUAUGAUCCAUGAAAAAUAGUAGAACAUGUUCAAUUCAAA